CCUCCGAGGGCCGCUCUCUAUGGCCUUGCAGUGCCUCAGGGCACCGUAAGUGUCCUCAGUCCUACGGAAGCCACACGCUACCAGCGCUCUUUCAAAACUACAGAAAACGGUUAAUAAUUAACCGCAAAAAUAAUCUUAAGACCACAGAAAUGAAGGGACCACUGUGGAAAUGUCUUCUCCACCACAACAAGCCGACAUCGCUUGAGCACGAGUGGUAGGAUAAUCGGCAGCAGCGAGUCGGAACUCCCCGAAGAUAAAAACGAAGUAGGGUGCUUUGCCUGCGGGGAACUUCGGGCAGGUGGAAGAGGAGCUGCCGCUCCUCCUCGUGUCCUCUGGGGUUGGCCCUGCCCUUUUCCCAGGGGGCCGAGGGCACACGACCGCGGCCUCUGCUGAGGGAGCUGGUUCUGCCCUGGGGCGUCCCUGGUGUCCCGGCUCUGCUGGGCCUUCACUCAGCUGCAGUUUUGGAGCUGGCUCAGCUGUUUCGGCAGGUGGUUUUUUGGCAUUUAGAGAAGCAGAGAUGAGAAGUCUUAAGGUACAACCUUCAGGACCAGGGCCUUCUGGCAGAUGGCGGUAGCUAUGAGACAGACGUGUUUCACAGAACAGGAAACAUUCCUACAUCAUGACUGGCUCAAGGUUUCUGACUGGCACAAGGUUUCAGGGGUACAUUAAUAAAACCUUUCGAAAUUAUUAAUUUGGGCCCUGAGAUGAAACAAUUUAGAUGGCCUGAGAUAUUGUUCCGACAGCUAAUAGAGAAACAGCUUAGUUAAAAGGAGGGGAACACAGCUGGACUGCAAAGUACCUCUCACCACAGCCUGACACCGGCCAGGCCCUGAAGCUACAAUCCUUCUUCUAACCUGUUAAGAAAUCCAUCUGCGUUACUGAGAUUAGACAUAGGGCAUUUCGCAAGUCUGUGCCAAUUCCUGGAACAUCGAAUGGAAACCAGUGCCAGGAUCAGUAACGUGACUGCGGUCACAGAGACACGAGGCUGCAAGGGACUUCAGGAGAUCAGACCUGACAGCCCAACGUACAGAGGCCACACACGCUCCUUCCUCCAGCAGUGCUUAUCAAACGUCACCUUCGAAAAUUCUCCACCACCUCCAAGUAAUUGCAGCCUGCUCCAGCACUUCAGCUGUCCUCUGCGAGAGCCUUUCUCUCUUUUCCAACAAAAAUCAGCUUUGCUGAAAAUUCAUUUUAUUUCUUCUUGUUUUCCCACAGGGGCCAUGCGGUUGCUGCUGAUUACAUGAUCAUUAUUAAUUUGCUUUUAAGAAAAAAAGAGUCUAAGGUCUGUUACGGCAGUGGGAUGAAUCCUAACCUGAUGAUCAAUCAUCCUAUCUGCCAGUUCCCAAAAGGACAAGUCGCCCUUAAGGAAUGUCACAAACAGCAAAUAUAAUUUUUCUCUUCUGCGCUGACCAGAUAAUUUAAAUCUAAUGUCAAGGCAGAUCUUCUAAAGACAUAAACUGGAUGAACUAGUCAGCCUAGAGGCAGGAAACAGGAAAAAAAAAAAUAACUUGAAGAGCCAGAAUUUGCCAGAAAGCUGAUUGUUUGGUUCACCGAGUUGCAGUCAUUUAUCAAUUAUACCUUUUAGUAGAAGCAUAAGAUGUCUAAGUCUGAACCAGUUACAUUGUAGUCUCACAAAUACAUGAAAGAUACUAAUGCUUUUCACAAGUCUGACAAAUUUUUAACUUUGUUUUUUAGAUUCUAGGCCACUUAUUUGUUUACGUGCAGUGGAAUAAUUUCAAAAUUACUCUACAGUGCUGGUGCACGGGAUUCCAGGCAAGAACAAUUGAGGUCUCUCACUAACCGGCAGCAUCUCGGAGUCUCAGGUCCCACACAAGCCUAAUCACUGGAAAUAUGCUUUGGAGGAAGUAAGUCCCUGUUAGAAAGCUGUCCCAGCAGGCUCAGCUGGAACCAACCGAACACCGAGGGGCACAGACACGUCACAAACCAAACAUAAACAGCCCAACAGUGAAUAUUUUUCAGGUUCUUGCAAUAUGAGAGCCUCUUCCCCAUCAAUUGUUGCAGUUACUGCAAUUAUCGCUCCAGACUUUUUGGAGGUACUUGAAGAGAACUUUGAAGUAGAGCACCAAAGGCAAGUAAGUUUGGUUUUUUUAUUUAUUUAUUAAUUCCAUACUUAAUAACACUGUUUACAUGGAGAACACGUUCAUUCCCUGCAAUCUUGUAAUCAAAGUGAAUCACCGCUGCCAGCCAAGCUACUGUAAGCUCAGUGCUGCCCUCAGCAGAGCCAACCAACUGCUAUAGGUAGGCUACAGCCUUUGAAUUGAAUGCUGUUGCUGAUUUACAGCUGAAAGGUCAUCUUCUCUGCUCCUCGCAGCUGUGUUGACCAGGCAGAGAUAAAAAUGGCUACUUAAAAGACCCCAAAGUCACAUUAUUUCGCUUUCACAGAGCACAGAGACACCUCAUCUCUUGAGAACGCUCGCUCGCAGCUACGGCGGCUCUACCCCCACUUCCCCCAGCUGCCGAGUAAGUAAGCGGUGACUCACCAAACACAAGUGCUUACCAGCAACUAAGCUACCAGGACUGCUGACUUUUCAGCACAGAUAACUCAAACAGGUGAACAUAUAUUGUUCUAGAACCUGUAUCUCAUUUUAAUUAAGACUAGACACUUCUACCUGGCUUCAAACUGUAAUUACAGCCAAGCCUUUUAGGGCAGAUAACAGCGUACUGCACGACGCAAGGUGGGGCCGGUGGUUCCCCCUCCACCCACACAGCGCAUCUCCUGAGCUUCCUCCUAGGGCUGUCCCCACCGCCGGGUUCAUACCCUAGCGCAGCCAGAGGCUGCAAGGCCCAACUCUGCCCUCGUUAGCGAUUCAUCACUCAUGCUACGUGGGGGAGCAGGGUUGGGAAGAGUCCUCCCAGCCCGGCUGCGGUUAGCUCCUGCUCGCCAAACACGCUGGGGGGACAUACCUGGCCUCUGACUGCACGGGGGAAGUGGGACACUGGGGACAUUUCUGCAGGGCCGCUGCACUCUAUAGCAGGAAAUGUUAAACCAAAGAAAUAGCUGCCUAUGAAAUCCUAGCUCAGCAGCCCCCAAACCCAGCUAGCCUGGAUUUAAAGCAACAUGAUGCUGGCACAGCUCUUUUUACAAAGGACGGUACUCAGCUAUUGGUACAGCAGCCGCCGAGCUCACACUCAGCACCACGACUUUUGAAAGAUAAUGGCCUUAAGCAUCAAUCUUACACGCUUCCUUAAAAUCCCCAGCCCAGACUACAUUGUACCAUCACUUUGAAACAAACCGGUGGUGUAGUCACAGGGACUUAUUGGCUGCACUUGCAUCCACUUCCCACCCUCUGAGUGGGAACAGGAAGCAGCUUGCUUAGUGCCAUAAGGAAUCAGGAAUAUUACUGCUCAAUUACGACUUCUUUUAAAACGCACGAGAAUCCCAGACUAGCAGGGGUUGGAAGGGACCUUUGGAGAUCAUCCAGUCCCACCCCCUGCCAGAGCAGGGUCACCCACAGCAGGUGGCACAGGAACGCCUCCAGGGGGGUUUGGAAUGUCUCCAGAGACAGAGACUCCACCACCUCUCUGGGCAGCCUGUGCCAGGGCUCUGCCACCCUCACAGGAAAGAAGUUCCUCCUCAUGUUGAGGUGGAACUUCCCAUGGUCAAGUUUGUGCCCGUUACCCCUUGUCCUGUCACUGGGCACCACUGAAAAGAGCCUGGCCCCAUCCUCCUGACACCCCCUAUUUAAGCAUUGAUAAGAAGUCAGACUCAGACAGCGAUCAACCCACUUGUUACACCUCGAAGCAGACCAGUCCUAAUGCGUCAGCUCCCACGCUGACGCUAGGCAGAACUAGGCACGCUUCACCCCAGCGAGGUUAAGGGAAGCACGCCUUUCGUCCAAGAUCGUGAAGGGCAGUCUGCCCUUCUUCUCCGUCCUUUUCCUCUCAAGAUGGAAACUCCUCUUCCAGCUCAGUGAAGGAAGCGUGAACAGGAAGAAGCAACAGCACAGAAACCCACCUACAAGAUAAGGCUAAUGCUGUUUUAGCUGGAGGAGGAGGAGGAGGAGGGGUAAGCAUGCUACGUGGUUUUGCCUGUUGACACAUCACUGAGGACUGAAGGUACUAAGGUAGCAAGUUUUUCCUAAACUUGAAAUCCCAUUUUACAUGGCUUUAAUUACAAAUGCAACAUUAAAGGUCAGUAUCAAGACUAAAUUCUGAGGAAGAUGCACUUUUUGUUCCAGGGCCCAGAUGACAGUCGGGGACUUGGCAAUCUCAAGGCUUUUACUGAGCAUUUAAGAUAAUUGUUAUCAAAUAGCUUUGGGCACUCUCAGGUGGAAGAUUUUCUAGAAAAAUCUUCUGCCUGUCCUGUGGCAGAGCUCCAAGAGUGCUUACUUGGCUCGUGUGGUGGAAAGAUGACGGUUCUGGAUUACUAUGGCAGCACUGUAAGAUGAUGCCAGGACCCAUAGCCGCUGCCAUCUUCACACACACAAAGGCCUCUAUGAAAAAUAAGAACUUUAAAGACUUGGACAAGACAAACACAAUACUUGUUUUGAACAAAGCUUUGUCAUACUCGCCUGUGAGGAGAGGCACCAUCACUGCUUUGAAGGGACUCCCCAGCUCACAGCAGAGUCCCUGCCCUGCACAGGAAGGUAUCGCACGGCCCUGGCCCCCGCUCCUCGCCGAGCACAUCGGACUGCGAGUCUUACGCCCAGCCUGGGCACGGCUGCAGGCCCUGUUUCCCCAAGCCAGAAGGAGUCAUUUCUGACAAUUCAGAUGUGGUUACUAUGUUUAGAAUAACCAGUACCUCCAAAAAAAUCAAAAAAAAAAAAAAAAAAAAAAAAAAAAAAAAAAAGGCAGCUUGCCAGUUCAGCACACUUUAGAAGAAGAAAUUGAACACAGACUGGUCACCCCAGUUUGGUAAUACAGGUAUCUAUUUUAUUAAAAAAGUUACAAACAGGUGGACUGUAGGGUUGUCUUACAAAAUGACAAGAAUGAAUUCUACUGGAAAAAAUAUUUUACAAAGCAUUAUAGGUAAUUGUUCCAUUUUUGCACUUGUUAUUCCAGAUUUCACCUAUCACUGGUAAAGAUACAGUACAUUAGAUACAUGAUGUUAGGUUACAUUUUUAUUUGCAGAGCCCUACUGCAGUGAUUUGAACAACUCCUAAACAGAUGCCAUAGUAAAGACAAUACAUAUUGCAUUUAUUAUUAGCCUCUUACUCUAAUAAGCAACUUCACAUGCAAUCUAUUGAGGAAGCCUAAAUUAACUUUUGGUCCCUUUUUCCCCCCAAAGUGUGCUGAAGAAACCAUCUCUCGUUUUCCCAGUCCUGUCACUCUAAGCUAGUUCAAGUUUUUUAAGGUUUUUUUUUUUUUAAGUUUUUUUUUUUUUUUUUGCGCUGAGGUCAAUGAAAAUGAACACUGGUUCGAUAAUUACCCAUAGGAGUGAACCACUCAUUAAUAGUAACUGACUUUUUCCCCCUUAGACAAAGGAAAACUAAGAUCUUUAUGAAUUACUUUUAUUUCCUAUUACUUCCUUAAAACCUACAAAAAAAGAUAA